GCCCUGGUAGUGUAAUGGUAACACGCCUCUCGUUUCUUUCCGAAGCCUCUGUGAACAUUUCUAGAGGUGAUCCUGGUUCAAUUCCAGGUCAGGACG